AUUACCUUGGCAGAUUAGUGCUUUAAAUUUAGAAUUUAAAUAUGUAUGUUGAUUACAGGUAAUA
rnacentral:tRNA from 1 species